GUUGAACGCUGGCGGCGUGCCUAAUACAUGCAAGUCGAGCGAACAGAUGAGGAGCUUGCUCCUCUGACGUUACCGGCGGACGGGUGAUUAACACGUGGAUAACCUACCUAUAAGACUGGGAUAACUUCGGGAAACCGGAUCUAAUACCCGAUAUUAUAUUGAACGGCAUGGAUCAUCAGUGCAAGACGGUUCUGCUGUCACUUAUAGAUGGAUCCUCGCCGCAUUAGCUAGUUGGUAAGGUAACGGCUUACCAAGGCAACGAUGCGUAGCCGACCUGAGAGGGUGAUCGGCCACACUGGAACUGAGACACGGUCCAGACUCCUACGGGAGGCAGCAAUAGGGAAUCUUCCGCAAUGGGCGAAAGCCUGACGGAGCAACGCCGCGUGAGUGAUGAAGGUCUUCGGAUCGUAAAACUCUGUUAUUAGGGAAGAACAAAUGUGUAAGUAACUAUGCACGUCUUGACGGUACCUAAUCAGAAAGCCACGGCUAACUACGUG
rnacentral:rRNA from 1 species